AAAGCGGUAGUGUCAAGGGAAGUAACACGACUCCACAUCGAGCUGCGGGUUCGAAUCCCGCCCGCUU
rnacentral:tRNA from 1 species